rnacentral:rRNA from 1 species
CCUACGGGAGGCAGCAGUGAGGGAUAUUGCACAAUGGCGGAAACCCUGAUGCAGCGAAGCCGCGUGUGGGAAGACGGUCCUCUGGGUUGUAAACCACUGUCCCCAGGGACGAAGAUGACGGUACCUGGGGAGGAAGCUCCGGCUAACCACGUGCCAGCAGCCGCGGUAAUACGGGGGAUGCAAGCGUUAUCCGGAUAUAUUGGGUUUAAAGGGUGCGUAGGCUGUGAGGUAAGGCAGCGGGGAAAUGACCCCGCUCAACGGGGUGAAGUGCCAUUGAUACUGCCUUGCUGGAAUGCGGAUGCCGUGGGAGGAAUGUGUGGUGUAGCGGUGAAAUGCAUAGAUAUCACACAGAACACCGAUUGCGAAGGCAUCUCACGAAUCCGCGAGUGACGCUGAUGCACGAAAGCGUGGGUAUCAAACAGGAUUAGAUACCCUAGUAGUC